CUUAGAGCUCCCGAGAUGGUGGCGGCCGGCUCCCAAGGUGGCAGCAAGACUUUUGUUCUCUGACCUGGGGUUCUUGGCCUCCUGGAUUCCAAAGAAUGGAACCUUGGGGCCAUGCGAUUACUGGUGUGAUUACUGUCUCCUGACUGGACCCUGACUGCUAUAGAAUUGGUACCUGAAAGUGUCACAGAAGACGGAUUCUAAAAGAUGGGUUUUGGGAUUGGGUGAAAUGUUGAGGUUUUUGCUGAUGGGAAUUAGAUGCUAGUAACCCAUGCAUGCAGCAACAUUACAAUUAAGCUAUCACCUCUGAUUAAUUGCAAUUAAAUGCUAAUUAGGUAA
rnacentral:lncRNA from 1 species